AUACUUUUGCAAGCCAUUGUAAGUACACAGAGAGACAAUGAGGGGAUGAGGAACAGCUGGGACAAAUCAGACCUAACAAGACAAGGGGAAACAAAACUAGACUCACUGCAUAUAGGACAAGGACUUUCACAAUAAAACAGACAUCACAAGGGUAAUCUAAUAAACAAAUGAACUUAGCUAACCUAAAGAACUUAUAAAUAAACAUCGACAUCCAAACAAACUAAAACUUAAAAUGCUGGGUCAACAGACCCAGGAAAGUGACAGUAAAAUCAUUUAUUAUACACAUUAUACUUAUUUUCUUAAAUUGCUUAUCUAUUAUCUGUAUUUUCACCUGAGGGUCUAAGGGUGCUGCUCUUCUUUUCAUGACAAAUUAGGACAUGUUUAUGAUAACACACUGACAAUAUCAGGCCAAUUUUGGCAUUACUCCAUCAGUGAACAGCAUGCCCAUGCUAACUUAAACUAGACCAGCAAGCUAACCACAUGUGUAUUAAGUGUUACUUAAGAAUAGGAACCAAACAAAUUAACGGAACGAAAUUAACUGUAACAGCAGUUUGCAAAACACUGUGACACUUCUCAAGUGUUCCUACCUCAAAUACAGCGAGUGUUGCUGUGUUUUUGUUGUUAAAUGGACGAGGAGAGCCCGUGGCUGGUGAGAGGAUGCGGCAUUUCGUCAGUGGAACAUAGAACGACGUCUGUGAUUGGUCAACACGUGAGUAACGCUGCAUCUGAUUGUUCGAAAGCCUCAACCAAAGAUCUGCUGGUCACGGCAAGAUACAAACUCGCCGGAGCUCUGAGUGAACGGCACAUCCGGGACCUUCAGCACUCAGCAGAGAUUUGUCUUGACGUAUGUAUUUACCUUUGAUAUCCAUGACUCGACGCACAUUUAGCAAGAAUCAUUUGUGCCAGCUACUUCCCUGCUCUCCUUCCAUCCUGUCUCAACCUCCAACAGGAAAGUAGAAGUCCUCAUAUGACACCAAGUGCUGAGGUCCUGUCUCAGCCUCAUACAGACCAAUUGACACCAAGUGCUGAGGUCCUGUCUCAGCCUCAAACAGACCAAUUGACACCAAGUGCUGAGGUCCUGUCUCAGCCUCAUACAGACCAAUUGACACCAAGUGCUGAGGUCCUGUCUCAGCCUCAUACAGACCAAUUGCUGGGAAGGUGAGAAGCAAGUGGACAAAUGAUGAAGUAAAGGUUGCUGCAAAGUACCAGGUAAAAAGGAAUGUGACUGCUGCUUCCAAGCAGAGCCGGCAGCUCUGAAAGGCAGAGACUGGGUUGCCAUAAAGUACUACAUCCACAACAGGAUCAUAGCAUUAAAAGAAAGAUGCAAGGAAAAAAAGAAACAACCAAGAGAGAUACUUUGUUGCUUCCACAGUUAUGUCAGUAUUGUAGUUUUCUGUAUUGCAUUGUUCUUACUCAUAAAUCUGUGGUUUAUGCUGGGUGCUUUUUGCAAUUAAAUGAUAAGAAAGGCAGAUAAUGUUCCACGUUUUUAUUCACAUGAACAUUCACUACAAAAUGAAUUAAUGCAUUACAAUAAUAAGACGACUUAAAAAGUAGACUGACCACAUUUGACCUAUGUCUUUUUUUAAGUCUCUACACAGCUCAUAUUUACUGUUUUAUUAACACAUAAAUGUCUGAUAUUUCUGUCAGAAGUUACCCGACUGGUGAGCAUCCAUGCCUAUUAUAUUGUAAUCUCAAAAGGAGCCAAGCUAAAAAUACAGAACCUACCCUUACCUGGUCCUUAUAAGUCAUGUAUACUUGAAAAUUAUGUGUUUCCAUGGGCUUCACAAUUCACCUAAACAUGAAAUAUCAGUGUGUGACCUUAUGGUACUCAUAACUCACAUAAACCUGACAGUGUCCUCACAAGUAGCAUUAAAUUCAGGUUUGACCAAAAUUUCACCCUAGCCAAAAUCUCAACAGAUGGGCGUGUUCCUGGAAGCAUGGGUCAAACUUUGUGUGAUUCCCAUGCCUCUAGGACCUUCAGAAAGGCACGUUCCCAUUUGUCACAUUUUUGUCAUAGGUCCUGAUAUUUCAUGAAAACACGUAUGUGUGUGUG